rnacentral:lncRNA from 1 species
CAGCACUUUGGGAGGCUGAGGUGGGCAGAUCACCUGAAGUCGGGAGUUGGCAACCAGCCUGACCAACACAGAGAAACCCUGUCUCUACUAAAAAUACAAAAUUAGCUGGGUGUGGUGGUGCAUGCCUGUAAUCCCUGCUACUCGGGAGGCUGAGACAGGAGAAUCGCUUGAACCCAGGAGGCGGAGGUUGCAGUGAGCCGAGAUCAUGCCAUUGCACUCCAGCCUGGGCAACAAGAGCGAAACUCCAUCUCAAAAAAAAAAAAAAAAAAAAAGAGAGUUAAACAAAAGUAUUUUUUAAAUUCUUUAGAAAAUAUGGCAUCCUGUUUGGUUGAAAAUAUGGCAUCCUGAUUUGAUAAAGCUAGGGAAUGAGUACGUUAGUGUUAAUGUCUUACUCUGUGUUCUUUAGACAUAUGUUCCUUUAAUACUUCAUAUUUACAGUUGCUGCUUUGAAGUUUUUAUGGGUUAAAUCCAACUUCUAGGCCCACACAGUUUCUUUGGACUGCUUGUUUCCUGAGUAUGGGCCUCACUUUCUUGUCUUGCUCAUAAUUUCUGAUUGAAAACUAGACGAUUUAGCAAGUAUUGAUUCUGACAUAGUUUCAUGGUUUUUUUUUUUAAAGCUUGAUUGAAUGUAACUGCAGAAUCUGUCUCCCACACAAGAGAAUGUAGCUGCUGAUGUCUCUGCUUACAGUCUUUUUUACAGUCUGUUUUACAGUCUUUUUAUCUUUUGGUCUGGCUUCCCCAGGGUCACUCCUGCAUAGCUAAAUGUCAGAGGAGGCUGUGCUAGUUAAACACCUCGAGCCUCUCGGAGGGCUUCUAUGCACCGCGGGUGGAUCUGAGUGUAGGCUAAGCAGCUCACUCAAUGGCCAGUCUCAUGUUUGUCUAGGCUUUUCCGUCCCAUGGGGCGCUCUCAAGUCUCAGCCAUGGCCCUUCUAUGCCUCUCUGUUUCAGGAGGUCAGCAUUAAAUUUCUGCUGACCACCACCUGUCCUAUCUGGAAUUGCAAUCUCAGGCUAGCAAAACGGAGUUUUCUCCGUUUGUUUCCUUCCAAGCUCACCACUUUUAGUUGACAUCAUGGGUUCUGCACCACCUAACCUCCACCAUUGUUCACCACCUCAGGCAACAAAGCUGCUGGUUUUCAUACCAGCUCAGGGCUAGAAAAGCCAGGAGGUUUGAGGGGUGACAGAAGCCCCAGGUAGGAAGGCCACAGACUCCAGGUUCCCACCCAAAGCUCUAGAAGCUUUUCAAAAAUAACCCAAUUUCUUCUCUGCCUUUGGUCAAUUUCUAGAGACCCCAAAUGGUUGGUUUUGACAACUUUAGUUUUAUACUUGUUUCUUGCAAGGAGAAUUGGCUGACCUCUUCACAUCAUCAUAGCCGGAUGUCCCUCCUAAUAUCCAAUUGUCUCCUUUGUAUGUGUUUUAAACUUUUGACACAUACACAUGCAUACACACAAAUUAAAGAAUGACAUCAGGGCCAGGCACGGUGGCUCAUGCCUGUAAUCCCAGAACUUUGGGAGGCCGAGGUGGGCGGAUCACUUGAGGUCAGGAGUUCGAGACCAGCCUGGCCAACAUAGUGAAACCCCGUCUCUACUAAAAAUACAAAAAUUAGCCAGGCAUGGUGGUGCACACCUGUAAUCCCAGCUACUUGGAGGCUGAGACAGGAGAAUCUCUUGAGCCCAGGAGGCAGAGCUUGCAGUGAGCCGAGAUAGCGCCACUGCACUCCAGCCUGGGCAAAAGAGUCAGACUCCGUCUCAAAAAAAAAAAAAAAAAAAAAAAAAGACAUUGGGGUGAAAUUUAUUUUCAGCAAGUAACGCUGAUGUCUAAAUGGGGGAAAAAAAGUGGAAAGACUCAGAAAAAAGUCUUAAUUCCUCAAGUAGCAAUUUUAUGAAGAAUUGAUUUUUACGGUCAUCAUAUUUUUCAACACAGGAGUUACCAAGCUGCUGAGCGCAAUGCUGACGAGAGCAGUACAGGUUGAAUGCAGGCAGCUGAGACUACC